rnacentral:rRNA from 1 species
UGGCGGCGUGCCUAACACAUGCAAGUCGAACGAGAAAGUGGAGCAAUCCAUGAGUAAAGUGGCGACCGGGUGAGUAACACGUGACUAACCUACCCUAGAGUGGGGGAUAACCUCGGGAAACCGGGGCUAAUACCGCAUAACAUCGCGAGGUGAAAUUCCUUGUGAUCAAAGGAGCAAUUCGCUCAAGGAGGGGGUCGCGGCUGAUUAGCCAGUUGGUGGGGUAACGGCCUACCAAAGCAAAGAUCAGUAGCCGGCCUGAGAGGGCGCACGGCCACACUGGAACUGAAACACGGUCCAGACUCCUACGGGAGGCAGCAGUGGGGAAUUUUGCGCAAUGGGGGAAACCCUGACGCAGCAACGCCGCGUGGAGGAUGAAGUCCCUUGGGAUGUAAACUCCUUUCGAUCGGGAAGAUAAUGACGGUACCGGAAGAAGAAGCACCGGCUAACUCUGUGCCAGCAGCCGCGGUAAUACAGAGGGUGCAAGCGUUGUUCGGAAUUAUUGGGCGUAAAGGGCGCGUAGGCGGUGCGGUAAGUCUGUAGUGAAAUCUCUGGGCUCA